CACGUAGGGCGCAAGCGUUGUCCGGAAUUAUUGGGCGUAAAGAGCUCGUAGGCGGUCUGUUGCGUCCGCUGUGAAAACUCGGGGCUCAACCCCGAGCCUGCAGUCGAUACGGGCAGACUAGAGUGCUGUAGGGGAGACUGGAAUUCCUGGUGUAGCGGUGAAAUGCGCAGAUAUCAGGAGGAACACCGGUGGCGAAGGCGGGUCUCUGGGCCAUAACUGACGCUGAGGAGCGAAAGCGUGGGGAGCGAACAGG
rnacentral:rRNA from 1 species